GAGGAGAUGGCUCAGUGGUUAAGAGCGUAAGUGAGAUGCUGCUCUUCCAGAGGACCUGGGUUCAAUUCCCAGUACCCACA
rnacentral:tRNA from 1 species